CGCCCAAACGUAAAAGAAACAUCAGAUUAAAUGCGUAUCAAUACUAGUAUGUGCAAUAGUGAUCUUGACACGUGAUCGUAUCACGGUACACGUACAAUACAUCGGGCCAGCGAACCCCGUGCUAAAGUCGGACGCUGGCCCGACUUGUUUUAAAAAUCAUAAACAUAAAAGCGGGCCGCCGAAUUUCGGGACACAUAGUUUGGUUGCGGCCGAACCGUAAU